AUCAACUCCCACAGUUUAUCUUCCAAGUCCCUCCAUUUUACCCGAAUUCUGCAACGCCCCUUCCCCUCCCUCAUUCUCCAAUGGCGACGCCUCUCCAUCUUCCCGCCAUUUUCAAUUCCCUCAACCCUAGCUUUCCUAAGGUCCCCCGCCGAUGGAACUCCGCUUUACUCACCCGCUCCUCCCUCACGGACCAAUCCCUCUCCGCCAAACGCCACCUGCUCCGCCUAAUCUCCGACCAGGACCGGGGCCUCCGCACGCAAACCGACGCCUCCAAGCUCUCCCAGAUCAUCGACGCUAUCGACUCCAUGGCGGUGCUGGGCAGCGGCACCGUCACCACCGGGCCGUCCCUCUCUGGCACCUGGAGGCUGCUGUGGACUACCGAGAAAGAGCAACUCUACAUAAUUAAGAACGCGGGGGUCUUCGGAACCCGCGCCGGAGACGUUUUGCAGGUGAUUGACGUGGAGAAUGGUGCUCUAAACAACGUGAUCACGUUUCCUCCUCACGGGGUUUUCUUUGUCCGGUCCACUAUAGAAAUCUCCUCGCCUCAGAGAGUAAAUUUUAAGUUUACAAGCGCAGUUCUCCGUGGGCAGAAUUGGGAGCUUCCAUUACCACCAUUUGGGCAGGGUUGGUUUGAAUCUGUGUACCUUGAUGAUGAGAUUCGAGUUGUGAAGGAUAUUCGAGGAGAUUACUUAGUUGUUGAUCGAGCUCUUUAUAAUUGGAAGGAAUGAACAUGACCUGUAUGCAAUUGCUCCAUUGAUGGCACUGCUAUGUCUCUUGUUUGGUUUUGACACUAUCCUAUCAGGUUCCAAUCUGUAUAUCUAGACGAUGACAUUCGAGUUGCAAAAGACAUCCGUGGAGAUUAUUUAGUUGUUGACCGUGCUCCUUAUGAAUGGAAAGAAUAAGUCACGAAAGAUGUUAAUGGAGAUAUUUGAUUGCGCAUUUUCUCAACGGAAAGAACUCACUGACUAGUGUAUAGCCUUGCUUUUCUAUUCCACUGCCUUUUAUCACCUUGUUUGUUGUUGUAACUGAUGUUUGUAAGCUUCUCAAAGUACCAUGUUUUCUAGCUUUAACUCCUCAAACGUGGUCAUUAAAGCUGCCUUCCUUCCCAUGGAGCUUGAGUUUCCUUCAGAUGGCACUUUAGUUCCUUUUGCCAGGAACUUUAUGGUGGGAAAGCUUUAGUCUAUUAGGCAGGAAUGUCUUCCACGUCAGGAUGCUUGAUUUCUGAUCAUAUUACAAGCUACACCUCUGAUCCGAUUGCAGGGGUUGCUCACAUUUGUUAGUGUUAGCUUGCAUCCUCAUGUUGAAAGUGGAGAGCUAAGACAGGCAGAAAAUCUGCUACAGGGUACUGCUAUCAUCUACUUCAAACAGGUAUUUUUCUUGCGUCUGUGCAGUGAUUGAUAUGCUUUUUAGAAUUUUAUGGGUUUACCUGGUGGUAAAUUCUUUUGGAUAUUGUUGCCUAUCCUAGGUUUGCAUCACCAUUAUUCACUCUUUUCCUAGCUGCAAACAUCUACUUUUCAGACAAUGUAACCUCUGGGUUCAAUUUUACUCAGGAAAUCUACAUGUACCACUGGGUAGGUUCUUGUUAGUUCAAGCCAGUUGGAUAUUUGUAUUCUGGAGCGAACACGUCUGAGCUGGGUAGAUCAGUUCAAUGUUGUCAGGGUGGUAGUUUAAGUGCCAAGAGAUUUGGGGUGCUGAAAAAUAGAUCUCAACUUUGAGUGUCUUAUGAGUAACCUCUCUCUAUUCUUGGUGCUUUAAAUGCACAACUGCAUUUAAGUACAAUUAGAGAAGACUAACUACUAAAAUGUGCCAUUUAAGUUAGGUACAUUAUUUGAAUAUAGAGAUGUUAAACGAGUUCCGUGUUUCUAUCUGACAAGUUAGGUUUAGUCUAUUUUGCCAU